UCUGCUCAUCCUCGUCCGUGUGUCCAGGGUACAGUCACUGACCUGGUCGGCUCUGCUUUGGAAUGUCUUCUGCUCUCCAUGGCCCAGUUCCUUGUUCCAACUUAAAGAUCACCUCAGGUUUGGUCACGCAGUGUCCUGUUGAUGGGAAAUAGUGUAAGGCUACCAAAUGCUAAGUCAGGUUCGCUGCAGAAAGAUUGCACCCUUGGGAACUGAGUGACAGCUGGACACGUCGGAACAUCCUGUGAGAAGUUUACAUUCCUGUGGGCUGGAGCCCUGCCUUUAGUAAGGAAAGUGAAAUGGCUUAAGAAGAGAGCAGAGCUGGGACUCUUACAGGCCUGUGCUCUCAGCCACAGAUGCGAAGGCAGAAGGGAGACCAGGUCAAAGUCUGUUUGAGCAAUUUAAUAAGACCCUAUCUUAAAAUGAAAAGGGGGUUGGGAAUCACAGCUCAGCUGCAGAGCGCUUGCCUAAUACACAUGAAGCCUUAAAUUAAUCCCCAGCACUAAGAAUAAAUAAAUAGGAAUUAGAAAUCUAAGAAUGGUUUUAAGAAAACUUAGAGACAUAAUACAAUUCAGUAAAAAGAAAGACAGAGAGAUGGAAAGACAGAAGAAAGGAAAGAAGGAAGAAGGAAGGAAGGAAGGAAAGAAAGAAAAAGAAAGAAAGAAAGAACAAAAGAAAGAAAGAAAGAAAGAAGAAAGAAGAAAGAAAGAAAGAAAGAAAGAAAGAAAGAAAGAAAGAAAGAAGGAAAGAAAGAAAGAAAGAAAGAAAGAAAGAAAGAAAGAAAGAAAGAAAGAAAGAAAGAAAGAAAGGGAGAAAGAAAGAAAGCAAGCCAGCCAGCCUCAGAUACGUAGGAGACGGGGGUGACUGAAAACUGAAGUGACCCAGCUUUUGGAUGGCUCAGCAGGUAAGUGCACCAGAUACAGGGCUUUGCCGGCUGAGUUCUGUCCCUAGCCCUCUGACCCCUAGAUGUAUGUCAUGGCAUGUGACUGUGUACACACACACACACACACACACACACACACACACACACACACAUACACACAUACAUACACUCAUACAUACAAAUAUACACGCUAUACAUUUUUUAAAUGUUCAUGCAAUCUGAAUUUCAAAGCUAAGACUCAACAAAAACUCAAGGAAAACAAAAAGGUGGGUGUCCCAACAGCAGAACUAAUCAGGCAGAAAAAUAACAUUUAGAAUAAUGCCAUGUUUUGUACUGUUUUAGGUUUUUGUUUUUGUUUUGUUGUUUGUUUUUUAUUUGUUUUGUUUUGUUUUGUUUUUGGCAUAGGGUCUCACUAUGUAGCAUAGCCCUGGCUGUCCUGGAGCUCACACUGUAGACCAGGCUGGCCUCAAACUCACAUAGAUCCACCUGCCUCUGCCUCCUGAGUGAUAGGAUUAAAGGCGUGUGUCAGAGUUUAAAAUGGAAGAAGGAAUUAAUUUAUCUUUACUUUAUCUGUCUGAAUGUUUUGCCAGCAUGUAUGUCUAUGAAGCACGUGCAUGCACUGCCUGUGGAUUUGAAGGGUUUAAAUUUCUAAAAGUUAGUCAUGAACAAAGUCUGACUAUGCCUGAAAGAAUUGAGAUAGGGCUCCAAGGACACUGGCCAUCUGGAGCUACCCCUGGAGCUACCUCCCUUCCUUUCCUUCACUCCCUGAUACGAGUCAUCCCUUAGUUGAGCGAGAUAAGACAACUUGCCCAUAUUGCCAAGAUGCUAGAAUGCUUUGUUAAUACAAUUCCUCGCAGAAAAAAAAAAUAACUGUACACCCUUUGUACUAGCCAAUUACUGGUUUUCCCUAUAUAAGCUCCUGCCUAGAGAGGCUCGGAGCUUGACUCAAUCUCCUGUGUGAGAUACGUGUCAGCCCGAGAUCUCGUAAAUAAAACUGCCUCUUGCUGAUUACAUCAAGACCGGCUUCUCGUGUUUCCUGGGGGUACCCCAACCCGUGACUGGAGCGAGAGUCUCCCCAAGUCUGGGGGUCUUUCAUUGGGGGCUCGUCCGGGAUAGGAGCAUAACCCCCGGAGAUCCGAAUGCCUCUUGGAGAUAGCGGAAGUGAGGACGCCCCAGCUCUGGGAGACGUCCCAUGAGCCGACUUUUGUCGGGAGGACCCGGCAGGUGACAGUCAAAGAGAUCUGACUGUGACUUGACUUCGGAGGUCGUGUUCGGCUGCCUAUUUAAGUAUAGGCAUGGACAAGUGUGCUUAGAUGUGUUAGUGUCUGUUGUCUGUAUUCUGUUUCUGUGUUUGGUAUCCCAGAAGCAGCUAAGGUUAAGCUGCAGUUUGGGCCAGGUACUGAAGGUACCAGGCAUCUGUGGAAAUUGGUUAUAGGAUGCUUUGUCUUGGUCUUGUUUGUCUGGUUUGUUUUCUGUGGUAUUGUCCAGUGUCUUUUUGGCUUUUGUUUCGUUUUUGGACUUGGACUGACAACUGUGUUUGAAAUCAUGAAACUGUUUGCUUUGUUUGUCAAGGAGUUUUACUUGGUCCUCUUGGUGCUUAACUUAAAAGUUAAAAAUAAUUUGCUUGAGAGAAAUUGUUUUCUGCUGGGGAGUUUUAUCUUUCUCUCUUGAGCCUCCUCCCCAAGGAGAGCUGCCCCUCUCUUUACUCCCAUUGUCCAGCCCAGCUGCUGUUAACCGUUGUGUAUGAAGGACUCCAGGUUAGCGAGUGAUCCGUCUGAAGCAGGCAUUAACAAAAACCUGAAAGUUUUACCUUAGAUCCUGAAGAAAAAUUCUCCCUGUGGCUUAAACAUUCACAGCUUCUAAGGAAGGGACAACACAGAGUAGGAAAAUGUAGGGGCUGAGGGUGGCAAGCAUGCAGGCCUACUAGCAAGCUACAGGCUGUGCGUGGGCAACAGCGCAGCUCUGGCCAAGUCAGCGCAAGAGGAGUUUCAAGGUAAGGAGGCUGGCUGGGGUUGGCGCUUUGACAACAAAGAUAGCGUAGAGUUAGUGGUUGUAUUUUGGCCCUGAAAAAAAAAAAUUCCAGUUGCUGCCUUCAGUGGCCAGACCUUCAACACUUGCUAACAAAAGGAGAGUAUUCAUUAAGAGAAGUUCUUUAAGGGAGCCUGCCUUAUCUGCUGGCCCUAUUCCAAGAGAGGAGUUGAUCUCCAACAUUAAGUAACCUUCCCUGUUAGUCAUCAUUGACAUGGAGAGUGGCUUUGAUCCUAUCCCCACAGCAGCCAGUUCCUGCCCCUGUGGUCAAAAUGCCCCAGGUUGGGGGGCAGAGAAGCCCCUAAAAUAGUUUCAAAGAAUCUACAACAAGCUGUGAAGAACUUUGUUUUGCCAGUCAAAAUUUAGAAUUCAGGUUUUGGCUGUGGCCAAGGUCAGGAUUAAUGUUUUCUUUUCCAUGGGCCUUUAACCCAGUGAGACAGCUUGGUAAAGGACUACUACUACAGUCCUGAUAGCCCCAGGUGAACUGGUUACAAUUCUUUUGUCAGCCACCUGGCAUCUAACACCCAGGUUCUAAUGUCUCUCCAUCCUUUUGUUAUUAGUUCUUACUAGAAGCCUAGUGUCCUUCAGAGGCUGGGUUUAUUGAGAGACAGAGCCACUGAGCUGGCACUGAAUUUCGGGAGGUACUUCUUAAGUAAAAUCUAAGUCCAGAGAAAUAGUCGAUAACAGAUCAGCUGCCUCUCUGCUUGCCUUUCUGUUUCACAGGAACAAAGCUUGUGCUUAUUUCUACAACGGCCUUUUUGUCCAAGAAAGUCUCCUGGUUUAGCUGUGUGACUAAAUGCUGUUUGCCCUCUUCAGUAGACUUCUAUUCUCAAGAUUCUCUUGUUUUCUCACCAUCCCAUUUGAGAUGCUUGUUAGUAACUAUUACAGGUCUUCUUGACCACCGAGGAAAGACAGAAUCCUGCUAGAGGCCAGAAAGAAUGUUCCAGACACGGAUGGAAGACCCUCACUCCUGACUGUUGACUUGAAUACCCCUGAAGGUAGGGAGUGCUCCAGGUCUGCCGCCAGGCUCCAAGGGUGGGUCUCCGAGGGACUAGAAAAUGCCCCACCAAUUUGGCUAAAGUAAGAAAAAGAUAUAAAGAAAAAGUUACAGAAACUUAAAGGGUUAAGCUAAGUCACUGAGAGAGUUGUUGUAAGUUGCAGAGAAAAUAAGGUUGAUAUAUGGUUCAGGGUCAGUGCACAAAAGUGGACAGCAACUAAUAGCUGUAGAAGAAGAUACAGAUAGAGAGACUGAGGAAGAGAAAGAGGAAAGAAGGUAAAAAGAACAGGAAGCUAGGGAAGAAAAGAGACAAGAGAGGAACAUAUACUGGCCACAGUAGUUAGGGAACCUAGGAAGAUAGUACCUGGCAACAGAAGAGAAUUCCUGGCUAAAGAUCAGUGUGCCUAAUACGAAGAAAAAGGACACUGGGUCAGGGACUGCCCGAGAAAGAACAAGAGGGGCCACUGGAGAGCUUCUUGGUCCUAGAGUGCUGGCUAUGUACAGAGAUAGAAGGGAAGUGUGGAUACAGGGACCCAAUGCUCUGUGCUCCUAUGCCCCCCCCCCCAGUGGGCCAAUAUCCAAAGACCUUGAGUGCAAGGGGCUACUGGCAACGAACAAUACUUAUGGACUGCCCGAAGAACAGUGGACCUUGGCGUGGGCCGGGUAACCCACCCACUAGUUCAUGGUCAUCCCUGACUGCCCCUAUCCCUUGCUCAUGAGAAAAUUGCUCUCCAAAAUGGCUUGCGUGGGCUAAAAUGGCUGGGUGAGGCCAUGUGUAUGCAUAUCUACAGACUGCGUAUGUGGAGCUUAAGACCUGUCUCAGUGCACCAGUACCUGAUGCUGGGAGAUGUGUGUGUAUGGCUUAGUGCCGUUCUGCCUGGAAUACAUCAUUCCUGCCAGCUGGGCUCUGACAAUUAUCACCCAAUCCAGGACUUAAACUGUGGUAGAGUGGCUGAUGUUUUGCCUUUAAAUGAAAUGUCCCAGAGGAUGGGAUCACUGAUCAGUUGACAUGGACUAGAUUCUCCACCUGUUGGGGGCAAUCUGGUCACCUUGCUGCCCAAUCCUGACCUGGAGCCACCACAGCACAAGUGUCAAGCACUGGCAGAAGCCCAUGGGUGGAGGAAAGACCUCUGCGACUGGCUGAUUGACCCCUGCUGAAAGCCGAGGACCUUGUCCACAGACGGGAACAGUUCUCUUCAUGAAGGUCAGAGAUAAGUGGGUGCUGCCGUGGUGGACAACACAAUGUCAUCUGGGAUGGCUGAACUUCUACCCCCCAGCACAUCAGCGCUGCAGAUGCCUUUACCAUCUCUUGGAUGCCCUGGUGAAGCCAACAACUGUGAGUACUAUUCGUUGCUCAGGAUAUCAGAAGGAAGAGAUUCAGUGGCAUAGGACAGUAACAAAGCAGAUAAAGUGGCUCAGAAAAUGGCUAUGCAGGAGCCUAUCCUGGUUACAGGCCUACAAGAGACAGCCACUGGGAACUGGGAUUGGACUAAGAGACGGCCUCUACAAUCAUCAAGAAGAUACUGGAAGAAAUCUUUCCCCCGAUUUGGAAUGCCCAAGGUAAUCUGGUCAGACAAUGGCCCUACUUUCGUUGCCAAGGUAAGCCAGGGUGUGGCCAAGUAUUUAGAGGUUGAUUGAAAAUUACAUUAUAUUUACAGACCUCAAAGUUCAGGACAGGUAAAUAAAUAAAACUCUAAAAGAGACCCUGACCAAAUUAAAUUGACCAUGAAGACUGGCGCAGACUGGGUGACACUCCUUCCCUCUCGCUCUCUUCAGAGCAAGAAAUAUCCCUUCCAGAUUCAGCUUUACCCCCUUUGAGAUCUUAUAUGGGGCCUCAGAUCCUCUGACUGUAUUAGAUGAUGUUACUGAACCAACAUGUCAUAGUAAUAAUGAUUUAUGUGUCAGGCUAAAAGACCUACAGGUGAUACAGAAAGAAAUCUGCUCACAGCUGGCAGCAGCCUAUGCCCUGGGGACCCCCGAGACAUCUCAUCCGUUCCAGGUCGGAGACUGUAGGUACAUACAAUGACACGGAGCCCAGACACUCGAGCCUCGCUGGAAAGGACCGUACCUGGUGCUGCUGACCACCCUGACAGCCGUCAAUUCUCAGCCCUCACCAGCCGCAUACUAGCCGUUGGGGCUGAGAGCUGGGACCUAGAGGGACACUCAGAUCUUCAAAAAGCUCCCUAGACUUGCACAUCAGAUAAGUGGAUACAUCAGAGACGUGACUGGGAUGUUGCUAUAAUGCUCACUUGAGGAGUGUGCUUUAGAAACAAGAAUUUCAUGUUUGCCCUGGGUUCCAUCGAGAAAAAUAUAGAGAUAGGCUUGAUUUCUAUUACAAAUGAUGUAACAUUACAUAUGUUAAUACUCCUAACACUUCUUAGGACUGUGCCUCAGGGACCAUAAGUUUAAGAGUUCUAAGAUAGUCAUGACCUUGGUGUAUAGGUUUAGAUAGUGUUCAGAUUAGAAUCCUAAAGACUUUUUAGCUGACCUCCAAGAAUACCUAACCUCCCUCUCAGAGGUAGUCCUUCAAAAUAGGAGAAGAUUAGACCUGAUAUUCCUUAAAGAAAGAGGGCUAUGUGCUGCUUUGAGAGAAGAAUGUUGUUUUUACCUUGAUCACUCCGGGACCAUUAAAGAUUCUAUGGCUAAACUUAGGGAAAGGUUAGACAAGAGACGACGAGAACGAGAAACCACUGAUAACUGGUUUCAAAGCUGGUUCAAUAGUUCCCCAUGGCUUACCACCCUGUUGUCAGCUUUAGCCGGUCCCUUGAUUAUCCUCGUCCUCUUGCUCACUGUUGGGCCCUGCAUCAUUAACCGCCUUUUUGCUUUUAUUAGGGAACGGAUUAGUGCUAUACAAGUCCUUAUGUUGAGACAACAGUAUCGGGCUAUACGGAGUGAAGAGCCUCUAGACGCUAGAUUCAUCAUGUAGUCCUAGGAUUAGGACUACUUAACUAAGAGCAGAGGGGAAUGAAGGGUUAAAAUUUCUAAAAGUUAGUCAUGAACAAAGUCUGACUAUGCCUGAAAGAAUUGAGAUAGGGCUCCAAGGACACUGGCCAUCUGGAGCUACCCCUGGAGCUACCUCCCUUCCUUUCCUUCACUCCCUGAUAUGAGUCAUCCCUUAGUUGAGCGAGAUAAGACAACUUGCCCAUAUUGCCAAGAUGCUAGAAUGCUUUGUUAAUACAAUUCCUCGCAGAAAAAAAAAAUAACUGUACACCCUUUGUACUAGCCAAUUACUGGUUUUCCCUAUAUAAGCUCCUGCCUAGAGAGGCUCGGGGCUUGACUCAAUCUCCUGUGUGAGAUACGUGUCAGCCCGAGAUCUCUUAAAUAAAACUGACUCUUGCUGAUUAUAUCAA